UUAUAAGAAAUCGUACCCCAAACCGACACAGGUGAUCAGGUAGAGAAUACCAAGGCGCUUGAGAGAACUCGGGUGAAGGAACUAGGCAAAAUGGUACCGUAACUUCGGGAGAAGGUACGCUCCUAGCGGUGAUGAGACUUGCUCUCUAAGCUGCCGGGAGUCGCAGAUACCAGGUGGCUGCAACUGUUUAUUAAAAACACAGCACUGUGCAAAAUCGAAAGAUGACGUAUACGGUGUGACGCCUGCCCGGUGCCGGAAGGUUAAUUGAUGGGGUUAGACUUCGGUCGAAGCUCUUGAUCGAAGCCCCGGUAAACGGCGGCCGUAACUAUAACGGUCCUAAGGUAGCGAAAUUCCUUGUCGGGUAAGUUCCGACCUGCACGAAUGGCGUAAUGAUGGCCACGCUGUCUCCACCCGAGACUCAGUGAAAUUGAAAUCGCAGUGAAGAUGCUGCGUCCCCGCGGCUAGACGGAAAGACCCCGUGAACCUUUACUAUAGCUUGGCACUGAACAUUGACCCUACAUGUGUAGGAUAGGUGGGAGACGUUGAAGCAACCGCGCCAGUGGUUGUGGAGUCAAUCUUGAAAUACCACCCUUGUAUGCUUGAUGUUCUAACGUUGGCCCCUUAUCGGGGUUACGGACAGUGCCUGGUGGGUAGUUUGACUGGGGCGGUCUCCUCCCAAAGAGUAACGGAGGAGCACGAAGGUGGGCUAAUCACGGUCGGACAUCGUGAGGUUAGUGCAAUGGCAUAAGCCCGCUUGACUGCGAGAAUGACAAUUCGAGCAGGUGCGAAAGCAGGUCAUAGUGAUCCGGUGGUUCUGAAUGGAAGGGCCAUCGCUCAACGGAUAAAAGGUACUCCGGGGAUAACAGGCUGAUACCGCCCAAGAGUUCAUAUCGACGGCGGUGUUUGGCACCUCGAUGUCGGCUCAUCACAUCCUGGGGCUGAAGUCGGUCCCAAGGGUAUGGCUGUUCGCCAUUUAAAGUGGUACGCGAGCUGGGUUUAGAACGUCGUGAGACAGUUCGGUCCCUAUCUGCCGUGGGCGUUGGAUGAUUGAGAGGGGCUGCUCCUAGUACGAGAGGACCGGAGUGGACGAACCGCUGGUGUUCGGGUUGUGUCGCCAGACGCAUUGCCCGGUAGCUAAGUUCGGAAUCGAUAACCGCUGAAAGCAUCUAAGCGGGAAGCGAGCCUCAAGAUGAGUCAUCCCUAGACCUUUAAGGUCUCUAAAGGGUUGUUGAAGACUACAACGUUGAUAGGUCGGGUGUGUAAGUGCUGUGAGGCAUUGAGCUAACCGAUACUAAUUGCCCGUGAGGCUUAACCAUACAACACCCAAGGGGUUU
rnacentral:rRNA from 1 species